UAGCCUGAACCAGCCAAGUAGCGUGAAGGAUGAAGGCUCUAUGGGUCGUAAACUUCUUUUAUAUAAGAAUAAAGUGCAGUAUGUAUACUGUUUUGUAUGUAUUAUAUGAAUAAGGAUCGGCUAACUCCGUGCCAGCAGCCGCGGUAAUACGGAGGAUCCGAGCGUUAUCCGGAUUUAUUGGGUUUAAAGGGAGCGUAGGUGGACUGGUAAGUCAGUUGUGAAAGUUUGCGGCUCAACCGUAAAAUUGCAGUUGAUACUGUCAGUCUUGAGUACAGUAGAGGUGGGCGGAAUUCGUGGUGUAGCGGUGAAAUGCUUAGAUAUCACGAAGAACUCCGAUUGCGAAGGCAGCUCACUGGACUGCAACUGACACUGAUGCUCGAAAGUGUGGGUAUCAAACAGGAUUAGAUACCCUGGUAGUCCACACAGUAAACGAUGAAUACUCGCUGUUUGCGAUAUACAGUAAGCGGCCAAGCGAAAGCAUUAAGUAUUCCACCUGGGGAGUACGCCGGCAACGGUGAAACUCAAAGGAAUUGACGGGGGCCCGCACAAGCGGAGGAACAUGUGGUUUAAUUCGAUGAUACGCGAGGAACCUUACCCGGGCUUAAAUUGCAGUGGAAUGAUGUGGAAACAUGUCAGUGAGCAAUCACCGCUGUGAAGGUGCUGCAUGGUUGUCGUCAGCUCGUGCCGUGAGGUGUCGGCUUAAGUGCCAUAACGAGCGCAACCCUUAUCUUUAGUUACUAACAGGUUAUGCUGAGGACUCUAGAGAGACUGCCGUCGUAAGAUGUGAGGAAGGUGGGGAUGACGUCAAAUCAGCACGGCCCUUACGUCCGGGGCUACACACGUGUUACAAUGGGGGGUACAGAAGGCAGCUAGCGGGUGACCGUAUGCUAAUCCCAAAAGCCUCUCUCAGUUCGGAUCGAAGUCUGCAACCCGACUUCGUGAAGCUGGAUUCGCUAGUAAUCGCGCAUCAGCCACGGCGCGGUGAAUACGUUCCCGGGCCUUGUACACACCGCCCGUCAAGCCAUGGGAGCCGGGGGUACCUGAAGUACGUAACCGCAAGGAUCGUCCUAGGGUAAAACUGGUGACUGGGGCUAAGUCGUAACAAGGUAGCCGUACCGGAAGGUGCGGCUGGAACACCUCCUUU
rnacentral:rRNA from 1 species